rfam:Oryza sativa Japonica Group DNA, chromosome 7, cultivar: Nipponbare, complete sequence.
UUUAAGUGUAGCCAUGAGUGUUUGGUAUUCAACGUUUGAUCAUCCGUUUUGUUUAAAAAUUAUUUAUGAUUAAUAUUUUUAUUGUUACAGGAUGAUAAAAUAUAAAUAGUAUUUUAUGCGUGAUUUAUUUCUUAAAUUUUUUAAAUAAACGAACGAUCAAACAUUGAACACAAAAAUUUAUAACUGCAUUUAAA